rnacentral:miRNA from 2 species
GGAGGCAAGAUGUUGGCAUAGCUG